CUUAACACAUGCAAGUCGAGGGGCAUCAGGAAGAAAGCUUGCUUUCUUUGCUGGCGACCGGCGCACGGGUGAGUAACACGUAUCCAACCUGCCCUUUACUCGGGGAUAGCCUUUCGAAAGAAAGAUUAAUACCCGAUAGCAUAAUGAUUCCGCAUGGUUUCAUUAUUAAAGGAUUCCGGUAAAGGAUGGGGAUGCGUUCCAUUAGGUUGUUGGUGAGGUAACGGCCCACCAAGCCUUCGAUGGAUAGGGGUUCUGAGAGGAAGGUCCCCCACAUUGGAACUGAGACACGGUCCAAACUCCUACGGGAGGCAGCAGUGAGGAAUAUUGGUCAAUGGGCGCUAGCCUGAACCAGCCAAGUAGCGUGAAGGAUGAAGGCUCUAUGGGUCGUAAACUUCUUUUAUAUAAGAAUAAAGUGCAGUAUGUAUACUGUUUUGUAUGUAUUAUAUGAAUAAGGAUCGGCUAACUCCGUGCCAGCAGCCGCGGUAAUACGGAGGAUCCGAGCGUUAUCCGGAUUUAUUGGGUUUAAAGGGAGCGUAGGUGGACUGGUAAGUCAGUUGUGAAAGUUUGCGGCUCAACCGUAAAAUUGCAGUUGAUACUGUCAGUCUUGAGUACAGUAGAGGUGGGCGGAAUUCGUGGUGUAGCGGUGAAAAUGCUUAGAUAUCACGAAGAACUCCGAUUGCGAAGGCAGCUCACUGGACUGCAACUGACACUGAUGCUCGAAAGUGUGGGUAUCAAACAGGAUUAGAUACCCUGGUAGUCCACACAGUAAACGAUGAAUACUCGCUGUUUGCGAUAUACAGUAAGCGGCCAAGCGAAAGCAUUAAGUAUUCCACCUGGGGAGUACGCCGGCAACGGUGAAACUCAAAGGAAUUGACGGGGGCCCGCACAAGCGGAGGAACAUGUGGUUUAAUUCGAUGAUACGCGAGGAACCUUACCCGGGCUUAAAUUGCAGUGGAAUGAUGUGGAAACAUGUCAGUGAGCAAUCACCGCUGUGAAGGUGCUGCAUGGUUGUCGUCAGCUCGUGCCGUGAGGUGUCGGCUUAAGUGCCAUAACGAGCGCAACCCUUAUCUUUAGUUACUAACAGGUUAUGCUGAGGACUCUAGAGAGACUGCCGUCGUAAGAUGUGAGGAAGGUGGGGAUGACGUCAAAUCAGCACGGCCCUUACGUCCGGGGCUACACACGUGUUACAAUGGGGGGUACAGAAGGCAGCUAGCGGGUGACCGUAUGCUAAUCCCAAAAUCCUCUCUCAGUUCGGAUCGAAGUCUGCAACCCGACUUCGUGAAGCUGGAUUCGCUAGUAAUCGCGCAUCAGCCACGGCGCGGUGAAUACGUUCCCGGGCCUUGUACACACCGCCCGUCAAGCCAUGGGAGCCGGGGGUACCUGAAGUACGUAACCGCAAGGAUCGUCCUAGGGUAAAACUGGUGACUGGGGCUAAGUCG
rnacentral:rRNA from 1 species